UACGUAGGGUGCGAGCGUUAAUCGGAAUUACUGGGCGUAAAGCGCGCGUAGGUGGCAAGUUAAGUCGGAUGUGAAAGCCCUGGGCUCAACCUAGGAAUUGCAUUCGAUACUGGCUAGCUCGAGUUUGGUAGAGGAGAGUGGAAUUCCCGGUGUAGCGGUGAAAUGCGUAGAUAUCGGGAGGAACAUCAGUGGCGAAGGCGGCUCUCUGGACCAAAACUGACACUGAGGCGCGACAGCGUGGGGAUCAAACAGG
rnacentral:rRNA from 1 species